GUCCACGCCGUAAACGAUGAGUACUAGGUGUAGGAGGUAUCGACUCCUUCUGUGCCGCAGUUAACACAAUAAGUACUCCGCCUGGGAAGUACGGUCGCAAGAUUAAAACUCAAAGGAAUUGACGGGGGCCCGCACAAGCAGCGGAGCAUGUGGUUUAAUUCGAAGCAACGCGAAGAACCUUACCUAGACUUGACAUCUCCUGAAUAGCCGGUAACUCGGCGAAGCCUUUCGGGGCAGGAAGACAGGUGGUGCAUGGUUGUCGU
rnacentral:rRNA from 1 species